UCUCUUACCAGAAUUAGUUUUCUUCUGAUUUUGUUCAUCAGAGAUGCUUAAUCAAUUCCCUUCUUCUAACAUGUUGAAAUGUGAAAUUGGACAAUUGUGGAGUGGACUAUAUUUGGUUGUUUCUGAAUGAUUGCCACUUGAUCUUUCUUUCAAGAUAAAAAUGGUGUCGUUGGAGCUUCAGAAGCGGCUCGCCGACGAUAUCCUCAAGUGUGGUCGUGGCAAGGCUUGGCUUGAUCCUAAUGAAGGCAAUGAGAUUUCAAUGGCUAAUUCCCGCCAAAACAUCAGGAAGCUUGUUAAGGAUGGGUUUAUCAUCAGGAAGCCUACCAAUAUUCAUUCGAGGUCUCGAGCUCGUCGUAUGAAUGAGGCAAAGAGGAAGGGUCGUCACUCUAGAUACGCAUUUGAAGAAAGGUUGUUACAUUGAACCCACCAUUGUAACUGAUCUCCACAUCCAUGCAAAUAUGGAAAGAGGAAGUUUUUGGCUCUGUCUUGUGUGUUGAAACAUUUAGUUCCGAAGAUGAAGCCAUUGCAUUGGAAAAUGAUACAGAGUGCUGUUGUGUUUUCUAAAGAUAUUGAAAGGUGUGAGAGGAUAACGAAGAUAUGUCAGUGUCAAAAGUGCAGAAUCUAUGACUGCUAUUAGAGUGUCUUUUGCGUCUGUCAGUAUAGGAGACGAAAAGCCCUUUGCCUUAAUCUUCAGUCGCUAAUAG